UGCGCGGGCGGCAGACCGGGCCCGGAUGCGACGCGGGCUACAGAAUAACAUCCAUGUUUUGCUCUGGAUCAUCUCACCCUUCUAGAGGAAAGGCAAUGGCUGUAGCAGACUUAUCUGAGGGGCUGGUGACCUUCGAGGAGGUGGCUGUGUAUUUCACCG